ensembl:ncRNA C47E12.18 ncRNA
UCUUCAUUUUCUCCCUCUUCCUAACUUUUUCGCCUAUUGGCAAUUCUGAAAUAAACCGAACCUGUCGCUUGAAACCAGCUUUUCGCUCCUUCUCCUCUUUUUCAUGACGCCAAUUGUGUUGUAUAUGGUCAAGAGAAGGACAGGAGAUGAAAUUGACACGUCUUUU